rnacentral:rRNA from 1 species
CUAAAUGAAUGUUUACCAAAACAAAAACAAGUUUUUACAAUGUUGUAACACCAUGUAUAGGUGCAAACACCUGCCAAGUGCUGAAAGGUCAAGGAAGUUAGAGACCUAAUGACCUUGAUGUAGGUGAUUGAAGGACGUGAAGGAUGACCGUAACUACAACGGUCUAAGGUAGCACAAUUUCUAGUCAGUUAUGUUUCGAGCAUGAAGCAAUCACUUGG